rnacentral:tRNA from 1 species
AAUUAAUGAACUUGAUAAAGUAUGUAUUUUGAAAAUACAAAAAAGAGAUUUCAAUUCUCUAUUAAUUU